ensembl:lncRNA
CCCAAUAAUAGAACCACAUCCCUCAUGGUGAUGUCCUAGGGGAUUCUCAGCCCCAUGGGUUUUGUCAUUAAAAAAGUUCUCUAGAUCACCUUUUGCACUGAGAGGAAUGACAGUCUGUGGGAAUGCACAGUUCACCAUGGCUUGCAGGGGGAAAAACAUCUUGAAAUUUAGAAGACAUUACAAAACGCUUAGAGGAUGCAUCCUAGGUGAGAAAAAAUGAGUGGAUCAAGGUGCUGUGAGAAAGAAGCAUGUGAAAGGAAAAGAAAGGGAAAAGCUGCUGAGGGGAUCCAUACUGCAGCUCAGGACCCCUGUUCUGCUCAUGCUGGGACUGUCACACAGUGCACCACAUUUCUGAAAGGAAACAGAAGGCUUUCUUUUAUAAACGUCCAUAACUGACAUAGCUCUGCUACUCAGAGUGACUAUGGAACUCAGAGAUGUUCUUCUGCCUCUAGGUACUUAUGACAGGUCACAUCAAUAAGUUUUUACACAGAUGUGGUGAGUGCAGAAGCAGCCUCCUCCCACCAGCUGUUUUUGGAAAGUGAUAAAGCAUCAUUAGAAAAGAGAAGAAAAGGGAGAUAAAAUUCAGUGUUGAUGUUGCCUUGACUGAUCUGCAACUCUGGUACAGGACCUCCUGUUUUAUGUUCCUAGUCUUGAAACACCAAGCUGUGACAUGCAGUCAACACAUCCAAAGCAUGGGUUGCCAUUCAGAGAGACCUACACAAGUUUGAGCAGUGGGCCCAGGAGAACCUCUUGACGUUCAACAAAUCCAAGUGCAAAGUCAUGCACCUGGAUCAAGACAACUCCCAUUACCAGUAUAAGCUGGGGUAUGAAAGGAUUGAGCACAGCCCCAACAAAAAAGGAUUUGGGAGUACUGGUGGAUUGCAAGCUGGACAUCAGUCUGCAGUGUGCUCUCACAGCUCAGAAAUUCAAUCAUACUCCGGUCUGCAUCAAAAGAAGCAUGGUCAGCAGCGUAAGGGAGGUGAUCCUGUUCCUCUGUGCUGGUAAGACCUCACCUGAAGUACUGAAUCCAGAUGUGGAGUCCUCAGUACAGGAGAGACAUGGACCUGUUGAAGUGUGUCAAGGGGAGGGCCACAGAGAUGAUCCAUGGGAUGGAACACUUACCCUACUGGGACAGACUAAGAUACCUGAGGUUGUUCAGCCUGGAGGAGAGAAGGCUCUAGGGAGUUAUUUUAAAAUGCCAAUGUAUAGUCUUGCAAAAAAGCACAAUCUUGACUGAAAGUAUUAAAAAAUGUUGCAUAUGGUCAUUAACCAGAAAUCUCUGUGUGUGAAAUAGAUCUUUCCUUUAGCAAAAUUCUAAAUCAUUUAACAAAUUAUUUAAAAAUAGGCAGAAGCACAUCCAACAAUAAAAGACAAACAUCACCAAAGAAAUCCAUUAAAAACAGAAUUAUUAAUAGAUGUUUUUUACAGUAUUUAUUUUGUAUAAAGGGGAUUUGUCUGUACAUUUAGUAUCACUUUAUGUAACAAUUUGAGAAAACUAUCAAUCCACAGCUUCAAACAGCUUUUUCUGUUGCUUGUAUACACAAGCACUUGUUCUGCAGCAGUAUGAAGCUCUGAAAAGAAGUGUUGCAUGACCAGAAUACAUUUGAAGGAAGCUAGACUUUGCUUUGAACCAGAUAAAUUGGUGGGUAAGAGAUAAACAUCUCAAGUGUGGCUGUAGUAGAGGUAAUUUUUUUUAUGUUAUGUUUUGUCUACAGUAUAAUUCUACAAGUAAAGAAAUGCCUGUCUAGAAAAGCUGAGAUCUCUGCAUUAAAAUACUUUGUAGAGCACAAGCAUAUCUUACAUACAGACAAACCAAAGUAUUAUGCUUUUAAAUGUACAAAUUUACAUAUCUUGGUCUUGGCUCUCACACUUUUCAAAUCACCAGCAUUUUAAGUGCAGAUGCAUCAGGCUGAAAUGUAUAUGAUAUUUAAAUGCUACAUUUUGAAGGUUAAAACAAUAAAUAUAUCUAUUUUAUAUGAAGGAAAAAUAGAAAUAAGAUCCCUGAGUAAGUGCAGUAUCUGUCAAUUUCUGACCAAAGAUCCAGCUCCUUAAAAGGAAAAUAACACUUAUUAUUGUUAAUAUUGUUAAUGUUCAAGAUAACGGCAAUAAUUUAAAUACGUAAUUUAUAUAUAUAUAUUAUUUAUAUAUAAUAUAAUAAAUGUAUUGUAAUGUACCUAAAUACGAACUUUACAGAAUGGGCUGUUUAACAUGUGUGUAAUAAUCCUUUUGGAAAUAAAGUACUGCAUGGUAUUCAAUAAAUACCUGUUUGUUUCUUUGUUUAAAUAAUAUAAUCAGCUAUUUAUUUCAGUGUUAAACUUACAUUUGAGUAAUAUUAAUUACACAGUGUAAUUACCUUGCCUGUGAUCAUGAUUUGGGGACAGAGUGUAUUGCCUGUGAUGCUGGCUAAAAAUGAUAUGAUGUUUCUUACAUGGUCCAUCACUCUGCAUCCAUUUGUUUGCUUUACAUUUGCCCUGUAGAACUUCCAAUACCAAAAGUGCAUAGAAUAGUAAUGGAUGUCUAGCAUUCUAUCACUCAGAGAAUGUAGUUCAAAUAUGCCGCUUUAAGUGAAAAGUUAUCUGUAAUCAGUAGCUGAAUGUAAAGAGCAGUUAGUGCUCAGUAGUUAUGGUAGAAAACACAAAAUGCAAUCAAAUAGCAGUCUGUACUCUGCAGGCAUAUGAUAAAUACUGUCCCUGUCCUGAGGAUUUUAUAGCUAAUGUGCUCUCUUUCGUACAGCACUGAACACAAAGAAUGUAUUUGCAAUGGUCUUUCUACAACAGAGAGUGUUUUUUAACUUGAAGAUAACUGUUUCUGUGAAGAAAAAAAAAUUGUAUUCUAUAAUAUCCACAGUGCUUUUAUUGGCACAGAUAAUAUAGUCCUUCAGAGGAAACACAGAAACUUCUGUUUUAUUUUCUUUUUUUAUAUCUCUUUUUGUCCUCUUGUAUCUCAGUGCAGUUGUCAUUAUAGGCUAUGACCACAUAGGCACCAAGUAAGAAACUAGUUUAUCCCUUCAAUUGUCAAAUUAUUUUACACUGUUCAUCAUUAAAAUAUAUGAAUGUAACACUUCAAUGUUAAAAACAAAUACUCCAGGUGUGCUUCUGCAUGUACACUUCUUUAGAUACUUAAGUUCAGGUUCACACAGGGGAAAACAUAUUCUGACCUUGGAGUGGAUGCCCAGACCAGAGAUGGCUUGAUCAGUCCAUUUCUGAAGAAGGAAGUUUAGUGCCAUUCAACAUUUAAAACAUAGAUAUAUCGCACUGUUCUAUACACUGUUCAUCUUUAAAGAGUUUUUUAGUGCUUAAGAAUAACUGAGAUUCAAAGAUCAUCAUCAGUUACUGCAUUUAUCACCUUAUUUUAUUCUAUUAAGACAUAAUUUGAGAGGCAGGGCUCUUUGAUAGGUAGAAGGCUAAGUAAUGGACUUACUCUUAUCUUGCAAAAGGUUGGUUUGCUGACUUCAAUGCUUUCCUAAGUAAGAUAAUAAAAUUCAUUUAUCUGGCUUUCCAAGCUAUGAAAAGAGAAAGGCAUUCCUGUUGUAACAUUUUCUGCACAGCUUCAUGGAGCAAGAAAGAAAAAUAAGAUUUUGUUCGUGUGUUACAAGCAAACUUCCUGGAAGGAAAGUUUCAAAUAUCAGUCCAUGUUCCUAGGACCACUUACAUAAUCUGAAUAAAUGUGUAGGCUAAAAUAUACAAUCAGUAUGCAAGGCUUUAUUGGCAAAAUAGGUUACUUACUGUGUUACAAAUUCAUACUGCAUCUCAAGAUCCCUUACUGAAUUAAACUUGAAAUCUCUGUUCAGCUGUUUUGGUAAAGUUUCUAAUGCAUGAUUUCUGUGAAUCUGGAAAAGUUAUUUAAUUGUUUACUUCACUAUCUCCAGUUAUAUCUGAUGCAAAAGAAGUUACCCAUACAGAUUUUACUGGAUCACAGAAAAAUGUUGUGUUUGGGCAGCUUUAUAAUGUUUGAAUUAAAUAAAAAUAAAAA